AAUGAUAUACCCUUUAGAACCGAGCUUUUGUAAAAUUAUCGUUUAGUUCAGAAGCUCGUCUCUUUGGGUAUAUUAUGG